rnacentral:rRNA from 1 species
AGGUUAACCGUAUAGGGGAGCCGUAGAGAAAUCGAGUCUUAAUAGGGCGUUUAGUUGCUGGGUAUAGACCCGAAACCAGGCGAUCUAUCCAUGAGCAGGUUGAAGGUUGGGUAACACUAACUGGAGGACCGAACCCACUGUCGUUGAAAAGCCAGGGGAUGACUUGUGGAUAGGGGUGAAAGGCUAAUCAAGCCUGGUGAUAGCUGGUUCUCCCCGAAAGCUAUUUAGGUAGCGCCUCGGACGAAUACCAUAGGGGGUAGAGCACUGUUUCGGCUAGGGGGUCAUCCCGACUUACCAAACCGAUGCAAACUCCGAAUACCUAUGAGUACUAUCCGGGAGACAGACUGCGGGUGCUAACGUCCGUAGUCAAGAGGAAAACAAUCCAGACCGCCAGCUAAGGCCCCAAAAUCAUAGUUAAGUGGGAAACGAUGUGGGAAGGCAUAGACAGCUAGGAGGUUGGCUUAGAAGCAGCCACCCUUUAAAGAAAGCGUAAUAGCUCACUAGUCGAGUCGGCCUGCGCGGAAGAUGUAACGGGGCUAAAACUAUGUGCCGAAGCUGCGGAUUUGACAUUAGUCAAGUGGUAGGGGAGCGUUCUGUAAGCCGAUGAAGGUGUAUUGAGAAGUAUGCUGGAGGUAUCAGAAGUGCGAAUGCUGACGUGAGUAACGACAAAACGGGUGAAAAACCCGUUCGCCGAAAGACCAAGGGUUCCAGUCCAACGUUAAUCGGGGCUGGGUGAGUCGACCCCUAAGG